CGCUGUGCUCAGGGGCCAUUUUGAACAGUGAAACCACCAACAAAAAGCAUAAAAAUGUGAAGAACGUGGUACAAAAUUGAUGGCAAAAAGGACACCUGUUUACAGGAUAAGGGCUGAAACGAGAAGGCCUAGUGUCACCUUGUUUGACCUCAGGAUGUCAGAUUAAAAACAAGAAACAGCUUCCUGAAACACUAAAACUCCCUCCACUUGUAAGACAACAAAACUGGCUGAAAUCUUUUCGAACCGAUACGGCCAGCUGGAGUUUGCACAGAACAAGCUUGCUGAUGUCACAGCCUGGAUUUCCACUGCACGUUUUAUAUUAACUCCUCCCCAAAUUUGCACAUGGGACCUAUAAGGAAGCACAAAGGGAUGACUGUGCGUGCCUGAGGGUCUUUCAGACCUCUCCUUUCCUCCCACCAAUUACCUGCUAAUCUCAGAAUCCACCCUCUUAAACCUUUUCUAGUAAAAGUAUUGCCUUAAAACCAGCACAGAGAGAUGGAUCUGAGCUUGACUCAUAUCUCCUUGUAAGUCAACUUGCAAUAAAUAGCUUUUCUUUCUCAAAAACUUGGUGUUAUAUUAUUGGAUUCUAGAACAUUGGGCAGCAAGUUCCUUUUGCUUGAUAGCACUUUUGUAUAAAUGUGUAUGUGUAAGGAUGUAAUUAACAGCAUCCUUUUAGGUUUCUGCAUUUAUAUUAGGCCAAAUCGAUAUACCUUUUAGAUAUUGCUGGACUUGG
rnacentral:lncRNA from 1 species